rnacentral:misc_RNA from 1 species
AAAAUCUCAAGCCGAGCUGUUUUGACUUUGGUUGAAAAAGCCCGGAUUUUGGAGUGUUGGGAGGUCUGCAGGCAGUCCUGAUCUUUUGGGACUGCCAGCUCUCCUGAAAUGCAUUAGUGGGAUGGGUGUGCGACCAGCCUCUUCGAUGUCGUAAUGCGAUCGUCGUGGACUGUGAGCUUUUUCCCCCCCUUGGCUUUGCUAUUGUGAAGGCUUGACCUCAAAUCAGG